rnacentral:rRNA from 1 species
CUACGGGGGGCAGCAGUGGGGAAUAUUGGGCAAUGGGCGCAAGCCUGACCCAGCAACGCCGCGUGUAGGAAGAAGGUUUUCGGAUUGUAAACCUCUGUCCUUGGGGACGAAGAAGUGACGGUACCCAAGGAGGAAGCUCCGGCUAACUACGUGCCGGCAGCCGCGGUAAUACGUAGGGAGCAAGCGUUGUCCGGAAUUACUGGGCGUAAAGGGUGCGUAGGCGGCAUAUUAAGUCAGGUGUGAAAUACUCGGGCUCAACCCGGGGGCUGCAUUUGAAACUGAUAUGCUUGAGUGUGAGAGAGGAAAGUGGAAUUCCUAGUGUAGCGGUGGAAUGCGUAGAUAUUAGGAGGAACACCAGUGGCGAAGGCGACUUUCUGGCUCAUAACUGACGCUGAGGCACGAAAGCGUGGGGAGCAAACAGGAUUAGAUACCCCAGUAGUC